AGCCACGUAUUAAGAACCAAGUGAACUAUUUUUUCGCCUUUUGCUAAAAUGUAUCGUGUGCUUGCAACGUAAAUGUGGCAUGCGUUUAUUUUUGGAGGGCUGAUCUCACUAGAGCAC